rnacentral:rRNA from 1 species
AUUGAACGCUGGCGGCAUGCCUUACACAUGCAAGUCGAACGGCAGCGGGGGAGCUUGCUCCUGCCGGCGAGUGGCGAACGGGUGAGUAAUGCAUCGGAACGUGUCCUGUUGUGGGGGAUAACUGAUCGAAAGAUCAGCUAAUACCGCAUGAGACCUGAGGGUGAAAGCGGGGGAUCGCAAGACCUCGCGCGACAGGAGCGGCCGAUGUCUGAUUAGCUAGUUGGUGAGAUAAAAGCUUACCAAGGCGACGAUCAGUAGCUGGUCUGAGAGGAUGAUCAGCCACAUUGGGACUGAGACACGGCCCAGACUCCUACGGGAGGCAGCAGUGGGGAAUUUUGGACAAUGGGGGAAACCCUGAUCCAGCCAUGCCGCGUGCGGGAUGAAGGCCUUCGGGUUGUAAACCGCUUUUGUCAGAGACGAAAAGGGACGCACGAAUAAUACGUUCCGCUGACGGUAUCUGAAGAAUAAGCACCGGCUAACUACGUG